GAAGAAACCAAAGCCUUUACUCCUUUGAAAAACAAAAUCCAAACAAAAAGAAAAAAAAUCUCUAACAACUAUAAUUGUGUGAAGGGAGGGCAUUUGGCCAGGUUAUAGCAGAAUAACUUAAUAGUGACCUCACAUGUCAAAGAGUAUAUCUAGACAAAUAAUUACUAAACAAACUAGCUUUGCUUCUCUAGCUCUACUGCUUCUUGCAGAGCAAUAGUCCCUAAUUUGUUUUUCAGUAGAAAACUUGGGGAUGCGGGUGCAAGUAUAAAUAGUAACAUCCUAUCCAUUUGUAAAUCUUUCCACAACCAGGAAUAUUUCUGAGUAAGAACUGAAGCAUCUCUACUCAUUUAGAGGAAAUGUUACACAAUGCAGGACAAACCAGUCAAGCCACUUUAAACAGGAUAAAUGAAUGAAGGCUUCAAGAUGCAUCCAAUGGAUUCAUGUUGCAGAAACUUUUGAGAGAAUUUCUAAUCAAUGCAACUUGUAAGCCACUGAAAAAAUUUCCAUAGCUGAGCUGUUUCCAUUGUGAUGUGAUGGAUGGCAGAAGUGAUCUACUCAAAAGAGCAUAGAGCCAAAUCGGCAUGACCCUUUCCUAGAGAACUUGAGUUCAAAGGACUAUCCCCUCUCACAGACUGAGGCCACCGGAGAGAGCUGCGCCUGAGAGCUGAAGACCUUAUGUAGACACACAGAAGAAAGGAGAGUAAGAAGAGGAAUGUACUCCAGAUGGGAGAACUUGAACACAGAGUUAUCUACAAAUCAGCAGCCAAGUGUGUUCCACUUUGCUACCUGAAGAGCUACAUUUCAGCUUGCGUUUCAGAUGGAUGUUUUAAAACCACCAGCCAGAACCAGGACUGAGAGAAAGAGCAGCCCAACCCAGCCCACUCCAGCCAGGAUAGAAGACCCACAUUGCUGGCAUCCUGUGCGAUCUGAGGAACAAACAGGGAGUGGGUGCCACAACUACGCAAGCAGCAGCUUCAGUCCUGCAGUCCUGGGGUUGCUGUUCCCAAGUCUGGAGAGCCGGGGAGCGCCACCUGCCGCGGGUACCACACCGAGAAGAUGCUUUUGGGGCAGGCAGGAGCUACCCGUGAUAUUUUAAUUUUACCUCACCUCCAGGUUUUUUCAGCCGCUCAACUCGAGGCUGCAGCUCAGCUAAUGCCCUCCUUAGCUUUCACCGGUGUUCAGGGUGCUACAGGAGGAGAAGAACUGAUGGGAUUGCUGCAAUUUGUGUCGGAAAAUGAAAUCACUGUAUGGGUAUACUUGAACAACCAUGAACAGGAGAAGUCUGGAUUUCAGAAUGACUCUAAAUACUCUUCGUGGUGAUGAUCAUUUUGCUGCUCAUCCUUUUUGCCAUCUUAGUCUACCUUUUGGUUCACAAAUGGCUCAACAGGAGGAGAAAAAGGUCUCCACAGAAAGACAUUGGUGCACCUGCUCCCCGGACUGCUUCCCACUUCAGUGAAGUGUGUCUGAGUUUCUCCAGAACGAAAAGCUCCAGCUGAGGUCAGUCCCUUCAAAUGAAGUCCUCUGUCUUUGGAUAACAUGAGAAUGAACUAAAACAUGCCUCAUCUGUGGUGGUACAAGACCCUUAUGAGGAAAAAGGAGCAAAACUGCAGCCAGAAGAACAUAUCUCCUGAGCAAGAUUUCUCAAUGCCAGCUCCCUUGCCUAUAUACACAUUCAUUUUUUGCUUACAACGCAAGACCCAGUUUCAUCUAGGACAGCAUCAUUUCAGUAACGUGGUGCCUCCUUUUUCCUGAAAAAUCUGUGCUGCUGACAGUGCCGGGCAGGGCAUGGAGCAGCACAUCACCACAGCUCUGCAGUGAUUCACAGCUGGCAACAAGUCCUCCUGUGCCAAGAGGUCUUCACCUUACUCCCACCACUCAGUGCGUGGUCCAUAUGUACAUUGACCUGCUCCGAGCACACAGAACUAUGUCUGAAAAACCUCAUUUCCCAGCCUGACAGCCACAACUGCAAGGUAAUUGAGGAGCCAAUGAGGAGAGCUGCUACGCUGGACCUUGUUCUCACCAACAAGGAGGCACUGGUGGGGAAUGUGAAGCUCAUGGACAGUCUUGGCUGCAAUGACCAUGAAACAGUAAAGUUCAAAGUGGGAAGAGCAGGGACUGGGAGAAUGAAGAACUGCCAAGUGUAGGAAAGGAUCAGGUUCAAGACCAUGGGAGGAACCUGCCAGCUGACUAGAAAAGGGGAAACAUAACCCCUAUUUUUAAAAACUGAAAAAAGAAAGACCUAGGGAACUACAGGCCAGCCAGUCUCACCUCUGUGCCCAGAGAGACCAUGGAGCAGAUCCUCCUGGAAAC